GCCGGUGUGAAGUAGUGGUUUGAGUGUUGGACUAGACUUCAGAAGACCAGGGUUCAAAUCCCUAUUCAGCCA